rnacentral:tRNA from 1 species
GGAGAGGUGGUCGAGUGGUCUAUGGCACCCGAUUCGAAAUCGGACGUGGCAGUGAUGUCACCGUGGGUUCAAAUCCCACCCUCUCCGCCA